UACGUAGGUGGCAAGCGUUGUCCGGAAUUACUGGGCGUAAAGAGCGCGCAGGCGGCUGGUCAAGUCCGAUGUGAAAGCUUCCGGCUUAACUGGGAAAUUGCAUCGGAAACUGAUCGGCUUGAAGGUGGGAGAGGGUAGUGGAAUUCCCGGUGUAGUGGUGAAAUGCGUAGAUAUCGAGAGGAACACCAGUGGCGAAGGCGACUACCUGGCCCACUCUUGACGCUGAGGCGCGAAAGCUAGGGGAGCGAACGGG
rnacentral:rRNA from 1 species